UACGUAGGGGCAAGCGUUGUCCGGAUUUAUUGGGCGUAAAGAGCGUGUAGGCGGUUAGGUAGGUCCGUUGUGAAAACUCGAGGCUCAACCUCGAGACGCCGAUGGAAACCAUCUGACUAGAGUCCGGAAGAGGAGAGUGGAAUUCCUGGUGUAGCGGUGAAUGACGCAGAUAUCAGAGACACCGUGCUAAGGCGGCUCUCUAGUACGUGACUGACGCUGAGACGCGAAGCGUGGGAGCGAAC
rnacentral:rRNA from 1 species